rnacentral:rRNA from 1 species
UACGGAGGGUGCAAGCGUUAUCCGGAUUUAUUAGGUUUAAAGGGUUCGCAGGCGGAAUUUUAAGUCAGUGGUGAAAGCCUACAGCUCAACUGUAGAACUGCCAUUGAAACUGAUAUUCUUGAGUAUAGAUGAAGUGGGCGGAAUAUGUCAUGUAGCGGUGAAAUGCAUAGAUAUGACAUGGAACACCAAUUGCGAAGGCAGCUCACUAAACUAUUACUGACGCUCAUGAACGAAAGCGUGGGGAGCAAACAGG